rnacentral:lncRNA from 1 species
UUGGGUACUUGAUCUUGAUCUUGAUCAUCACCAACACAAAACACAAUCCCAUUGGCCCGAGUAUUAACUAAAACUUGAUCAUUUUCAUUGAUACCAAAAGCUCCUCCUCCUCCUUUUAAGUCUUGGCUUGAAGUGGUUGUAGUAGUGGUGGUGGUGCUACUAGUAAAACUGUCAUUUCUUUGCAGGGAUAGAAAGGAAGUUACCCUAGUGGGUUUUGGGAGGUGAACUUUAGGCUUUAGUGGCUCCACAUGUUGACCUGUUUUGUUCUUGUUUUUCACCACCAUCUCCUUCUUGUUCAUGUUGUUCUUGGUU